AGGAAGACGCGAGCCUCUGAACCGGGAAAGAGGAUCCUCCCCAGACCGCGAGCGUGCUGGUGCCUUGGACUUGCCGAGGACUUCCCAGCCUCCAGAACUAUGACAAACAAACUUCUGCUGUUUGUAAGCUCCCCACGUCUGUAGUAUUUUGUGGGACUGGUGGGAUUCACGUAACAAGAGGGGGCGGCUCAAACCACUAACAGCGAAAGCGUAGUGAGGGAUGCUCAGCACUGCUGUGUACAGAGAGGUUGGAAAGAAUGUGCGCAGCAAGGGGCCUCACAACCAGCAGGACAAGCCCAGACAAGCAGUCCAUCCAGCUGGGUGCACACGCGCAAAAACGGUCACCUGGGGCGACAGCGGCUGUGACACCGCUAGGACCCCACCAGCACCGCCCUUCCCCCUGGACAGUCUGCGUCCUUCGCUGCACCUCCGUUUUACCUCUCCCCUGAAGGGGAGCCUCCUGCUCCUGCGCCUGACGGAAAGGUCUGGAUCCUUCUGGAAACCUACUAGAGUUCAUUUGGGAGGCAUCACACUGGAACCUACACAAGGAAGAAAUGAUGAAAUGCCAAGGCUGAAUUGAGAAGAGUUGCUUUGGCAAGCUUGUUCAUCCUGCCUGUCCUCAUAACAAUGCCCUACUGCUUGUCAUGGUUUGUCAUGAUAUACCAAACCACAUGAAGACAGUUCCCUAUUAUUGGACA